rnacentral:rRNA from 1 species
ACCCGCUGAAUUUAAGCAUAUCAAUAAGCGGAGGAAAAGAAACCAACAGGGAUUGCCUUAGUAACGGCGAGUGAAGCGGCAGCAGCUCAAAUUUGAAAUCUGGCCUCACGGCCCGAGUUGUAAUUUGUAGAGGAUGCUUUUGGCGAGGUGCUUUCCGAGUUCCCUGGAACGGGACGCCAUAGAGGGUGAGAGCCCCGUACGGUAAGACCACCGAGCCUCUGUAAAGCUCCUUCGACGAGUCGAGUAGUUUGGGAAUGCUGCUCUAAAUGGGAGGUGUACGUCCUCUAAAGCUAAAUACCGGCCAGAGACCGAUAGCGCACAAGUAGAGUGAUCGAAAGAUGAAAAGCACUUUGAAAAGAGGGUUAAAAAGUACGUGAAAUUGUUGAAAGGGAAGCAUUCAUGACCAGACUUGGGCUUGGUUGAACAUCCGGCGUUCUCGCCGGUGCACUCUGCCAGUCCAGGCCAGCAUCAGUUUGCCCCGGGGGACAAAGGCGGUGGGAAUGUGGCUCUCUUCGGGGAGUGUUAUAGCCCGCCGUGUAAUGCCCUGGGGUGGACUGAGGAACGCGCUUCGGCACGGAUGCUGGCGUAAUGGUCAUCAAUGACCCGUCUUGAACACGGACCAAGGAG